rnacentral:rRNA from 1 species
UACGUAGGUGGCAAGCGUUGUCCGGAUUUACUGGGCGUAAAGAGCGCGCAGGCGGUCGUUCAAGUCGCGUGUGAAAGCCCCCGGCUCAACUGGGGAGGGUCACGCGAUACUGAUCGACUCGAAGGCAGGAGAGGGUAGUGGAAUUCCCGGUGUAGUGGUGAAAUGCGUAGAUAUCGGGGAGGAACACCAGUGGCGAAGGCGGCUCUCUGGACCGGGUACUGACGCUGAGACGCGAAAGCCAGGGGAGCAAAGCAGGGAUUAAGAUGACCCUUGUAGUCC